AGUGUAAGGCGAACAUCGCUGCCUGGAAAGCAGAAGAUGCGGGUUCGAUUCCCGC
rnacentral:tRNA from 1 species